AUGCAGUCGAGCGAUAACUGGGGGCAACUCCGGGGAAAGCGGCGGACUGGUGAGUAACGCGUGGGUGACCUGCCUCGGGGAUGGGGACAGCCGUUGGAAACAGCGGGUAAUACCGAAUACGUCCGACCACUCACGAGUGGUUGGAGAAAGGGGCUACGGCCCCGCCCCGAGAUGGGCCCGCGUCCCAUUAGCUAGUUGGCGGGGUAAGAGCCCACCAAGGCGAAGAUGGGUAGCCGGCCUGAGAGGGCGAACGGCCACACUGGGACUGAGAUACGGCCCAGACUCCUACGGGAGGCAGCAGCUAAGAAUAUUCCGCAAUGGACGAAAGUCUGACGGAGCGACGCCGCGUGGAUGAGGAAGGCCGAAAGGUUGUAAAAUCCUUUUGCAGGCGCAGAAGAAGGCGGGGAGGGAAUGCCCCGUCGGUGACAAAGGUCUGUGAAUAAGCCCCGGCUAAUUACGUGCCAGCAGCCGCGGUAACACGUAAGGGGCGAGCGUUGUUCGGAAUUAUUGGGCGUAAAGGGCGCGUAGGCGGCCAUGUAAGUCUGAUGUGAAAUGUCCGGGCUUAACCCGGGAACUGCAUUGGAAACUGCAUGGCUUGAGUCACGGAGGGGCAGCCGGAAUUCCUGGUGGAGGGGUGAAAUCUGUAGAUAUCAGGAAGAACACCGGUGGCGAAGGCGGGCUGCCAGCCGAUGACUGACGCUGAGGCGCGAAAGUGCGGGGAGCAAACAGGAUUAGAUACCCUGGUAGUCCGCACUGUAAACGAUGUGCACUAGGUGUCGGGGCGAGCGUCUCGGCGCCGGAGCGAACGCGAUAAGUGCACCGCCUGGGGAGUAUGCCCGCAAGGGUGAAACUCA
rnacentral:rRNA from 1 species